GUUUGACCUCUUAGAAGAAACUUUAUUAGUAAAAUUCAUUAUUAUCAGAUGAUUUGUUUCCUUUUGCAUGGGUUUUGUGGAAUUUAAUUUCCUAUUUCAUACCUUCAGAAGAAACACAACAAAGUGGAAAAUUCCAGCACAACGGCCAAGUCUUGUUUCUUUAUAGAAGAAGAAUAUUCCAUUCUGAUGGACUGAAGUUUCUCAGGAUAUUAGCGUACCUUCCUUAAGUUUCUUAUACCUUGUGAUUCUUUUUCGAGUUUAAGUUAUUUUUUAUCCCUUGUACUAU
rnacentral:lncRNA from 1 species